rnacentral:rRNA from 1 species
CGCGUAGGCGGCGGAGCGUGUCGGAUGUGAAAUCCCCGGGCCCAACCCGGGAAGUGCGUCCGAAACUGCCCCGCUGGAGGAUGGAAGAGGGAAUCGGAAUAUAGGGUGUAGCGGUGAAAUGCGUUGAUAUCCUAUAGAACACCGGAUGCGAAGGCGGAUUCCUGGUACGUAUCUGACGCUGAGGCGCGAAAGUCGGGGGAGCAAACA